rnacentral:lncRNA from 1 species
UUCAUUCCUCCCAACUUGUCCUCUAGCAUACCCUUAUUCCUCUCCUAGGACAAUGAUGUUUGCUAGGAUGCCUCACCUGAGUGUCCUGUCUCGCAUCAUUCAGUCUUAUUAUCAUCCUGGUGUCAAUGGGGUCGUGCAGAGGCUUCAGCUGCUUCGAGAGAGGAGUGAGUCUACAGAGGCCAGUCCAUCUAGGGAAGCUGAGAGAGGAGGGCUACCAAAGCAGAAGUCAUCCUUCGCCUUAAAGGUGUGUCUUUGCCCAGAACCUGAGUGUUCGACAAGAGAAUUCUUUGGGUUUGUGGGCAGCAGUAAUUCUUCCGGAACAGGCUUCUUUGAGGUCAGAUGAGGACUAGAGUUGGUAAAAUAAUAGAGCAAAAUGGAGGGGUGCUGUAUUUCAGAGAAUGCACUAACAGCUUCAGAUGAAGAAGUUAUCGUCUCAACAUGCUCAAGUUGAAGAGGUAGCAGUUAUUCCCCUUUUUCUUGUUCAAGAAGACCAGUAAGCCCUGAUAAAUGAACAGAUCCCUGCUGCCACCUUGCCACAAGCAUCAAACACAGCUGUCCAUGUGAAAAAGCCAGAAUAACAGACCCAAAGAAUCUGCAUCUUAGUUCCUGUAAUCUGUUGAGAUGUUAUGUCGCAGGGCAAGAGAGACUAUGCAAACGCAAUUGGGACAGGGAGACCACCCUGCAUUACCCAUGUCAGCCAAAUCUAAUCACUUGAGCCCUUAACAGUAGAGAACUUUCUCUAGCAGGAAGCAGAAGAGUGAGGUGGCGGUCGGAGAGAUUGUGUGAGAAGGAUUUGACGUGUCAUUUCUGUCUUUCACAUGCAAGGGACUGUCAGCAAGGGAUAGACGUGGGCCUUUAGGAGCUGAGGGCAGUCCCUAAGUGACAGUCAUCUAGGCAAUAGGGACCUACAACCUCAAGGAACAGGAAUUGAAUUCUGCCAAGAACCCAAAUGGGAAGGGAAAUAAGGUCUUCCCAGAGCCUCUGGAUAAGAGUCCAGCCGGUGGACACUUUGAUUUUGGCCUUGUUAAAUUGGAAGUAGAGAAACUGACUGAGUUAUCCUUGUAUUUCUUACCCAUAGAAACUGAAAAAUAAGCUGCCAAGUUUUUGGUAACUUGUUAUGGUGGCAACAAAAAAUUAAUAUACCAUGUGAGAGGCAGCUGGACAGCAAAUCAGUGUUUGUUGUUUCAAAUAGCCACUCAUGAUAUUCCACUUGGCCUUUAUAUUUGAGUCAUUAUUUUUUCGGAUUAGAGCCUAUGAACAUCUAGCACAUGACUAUUUUUUAAAGUUUUAUUUAUGUAAGUAAUCUCUACACCCAACGCGGGGUUCACACUCAUGACCCCAAG